rnacentral:rRNA from 1 species
UACGUAGGGUGCGAGCGUUGUCCGGAAUUAUUGGGCGUAAAGAGCUCGUAGGCGGUCUGUCGCGUCGGUCGUGAAAACUUGGGGCUUAACCCUGAGCUUGCGGUCGAUACGGGCAUGACUGGAGUUCGGCAGGGGAGACUGGAAUUCCUGGUGUAGCAGUGAAAUGCGUAGAGAUCAUGAGGAAGACCAGUGGCGAAGGCGGGUCUCGUGGACAGUUCCUGACACUGAGGCACGAAGGCCAGGGAGCAAACGGG